UACGUAGGGGGCGAGCGUUGUCCGGAUUUAUUGGGCGUAAAGAGCUCGUAGGCGGUUUGGUAAGUUGGAUGUGAAAUCUCCAGGCUCAACUUGGAGGGGUCAUUCGAUACUGCCAUGACUAGAGUUCGGUAGGGGAGUGUGGAAUUCCAGGUGUAGCGGUGAAAUGCGCAGAUAUCAGGAGGAACACCUAUUGCGAAGGCAGCUCGCUGGGACGUAACUGACGCUGAGACGCGAAAGCGUGGGGAGCAAACAGG
rnacentral:rRNA from 1 species